rnacentral:rRNA from 1 species
GACGAACGCUGGCGGCGUGCUUAAUACAUGCAAGUCGAGCGAGGCCCCUCCUUCGGGAGGGUGCCCUAGCGGCGAACGGGUGAGUAACACGUGGGCAACCUGCCCUCAGCUCUGGGAUAACCCCGGGAACCGGGCUAAUACCGGAUACGACCACAGCGGGCAUCCGCUUGUGGUGGAAAGAUUCAUCGGCUGAGGAGUGGGCCCGGCGGCCUAUCAGCUUGUUGGUGGGGUAAUGGCCACCAAGGCAACGACGGGUAGCCGGCCUGAGAGGGCGACCGGCCACACUGGGACUGAGACACGGCCCAGACUCC